rnacentral:rRNA from 1 species
AACGAACACUGGCGGCAGGCUUAACACAUGCAAGUCGAGCGCCCCGCAAGGGGAGCGGCAGACGGGAGAGUAACACGUGGGAACAUGCCCUUCAGUACGGAACAACCAAGGGAAACUUUGGCUAAUACCGUAUACGCCCGUAAGGGGAAAGAUUUAUCGCUGAAGGAUUGGCCCGCGUCUGAUUGGCUAGUUGGUGGGGUAAUGGCCCACCAAGGCGACGAUCAGUAGCUGGUCUGAGAGGAUGAUCAGCCUCACUGGGACUGAGACACGGCCCAGACUCCUACGGGAGGCAGCAGUGGGGAAUAUUGGACAAUGGGCGCAAGCCUGAUCCAGCCAUGCCGCGUGAGUGAUGAAGGCCUUAGGGUUGUAAAGCUCUUUCACCGACGAAGAUAAUGACGGUAGUCGGAGAAGAAGCCCCGGCUAACUUCGUGCCAGCAGCGGCCGCGGUAA